AUUGUAGUCUGCAACCCGACUACAUGAAGCCGGAAUCGCUAGUAAUCGCGGAUCAGAAUGCCGCGGUGAAUACGUUCCCGGGUCUUGUACACACCGCCCGUCACACCAUGGGAGCCGGUAAUGCCCGAAGUCUGUGGCCCAACCGAAAGGAAGGAGCAGCCGAAGGCAGGCCCGGUGACUGGGGUGAAGUCGUAACAAGGUACC
rnacentral:rRNA from 1 species